rnacentral:rRNA from 1 species
UAUACAUGCAAGUCGAGGGUGAUUAUCGGAUUCGUCUGAUAUGAAACCGGCGCACGGGUGCGUAACACGUAUGCAACCUACCUUUAACUGGGGUAUAGCUCAGAGAAAUCUGAAUUAAUCCCCCAUAACACUACGACAUGGCAUCAUGAUGUAGUUAAAGCUCCGGCGGUUAAGGAUGGGCAUGCGGUACAUUAGCUAGUUGGUGAGGUAAUGGCUCACCAAGGCUACGAUGUAUAGGGGGUCUGAGAGGAUGAUCCCCCACACUGGUACUGAGACACGGACCAGACUCCUACGGGAGGCAGCAGUAGGGAAUAUUGGUCAAUGGACGAAAGUCUGAACCAGCCAUGCCGCGUGAAGGAUGAAGGCCCUCUGGGUCGUAAACUUCUUUUAUUAGGGAAGAAACCUCAGGAUGCGUCCUGAGCUGACGGUACUUAAUGAAUAAGGAUCGGCUAACUUCGUGCCAGCAGCCGCGGUAAGACGAAGGAUCCAAGCGUUGUCCGGAUUUACUGGGUUUAAAGGGUGCGUAGGCGGAAAAUUAAGUCAGUGGUGAAAGCCCGCAGCUCAACUGUGGAACUGCCAUUGAAACUGGUUUUCUUGAAUAUAGCUGAGGCAGAUGGAAUAUAACAUGUAGCGGUGAAAUGCUUAGAUAUGUUAUAGAACACCGAUUGCGAAGGCAGUCUGCUAAACUAUUAUUGACGCUGAGGCACGAAAGCGUGGGGAGCGAACAGGAUUAGAUACCCUGGUAGUCCACGCCCUAAACGUUGAUUACUCGCUGUUGGCGAUAUACUGUCAGUGGCUAAGCGAAAGCAUUAAGUAAUCCACCUGGGAAGUACGACCGCAAGGUUGAAACUCAAAGGAAUUGACGGGGGCCCGCACAAGCGGAGGAGCAUGUGGUUUAAUUCGAUGAUACGCGAGAAACUUACCU